CCCUUAGAUGUUCUGGGCCGCACGCGCGCUACACUGACGAAUGCAACGAGCUUAUAACCUUGGCCGAAAGGUCUGGGUAAUCUCCAAAUUUCGUCGUGAUGGGGAUAGAUUAUUGCAAUUAUUAAUCUUCAACGAGGAAUGCCUAGUAAGCGCAAGUCAUCAGCUUGCGUUGAUUACGUCCCUGCCCUUUGUACACACCGCCCGUCGCUCCUACCGAUUGAAUGGUCCGGUGAAUCUUUAGGACUGUGGCUGAGGCCUUGCCUUGUGCGGGUCUGGCCGUGGGAAUUUAGUUAAACCUUACCAUUUAGAGGAAGGUGAAGUCGUAACA
rnacentral:rRNA from 1 species